ACGACAUUAAGGCUUUGCCUUGCGAUGAGACGCCGGUUGGUCCAUUUGGGCAGCCGGAGUCUUCAAACCUGUCGGCGUCUGAAGUUGGCCAAAGCACAGCGAUAUGUGUCUGAAAGCUGAUGGAGUGAUUGCCUCGUCUGUUUUUGGUGUAGAACCCAAAACAUCUUUUAUA
rnacentral:misc_RNA from 1 species